AAACUUUCAACAACGGAUCUCUUGGUUCUGGCAUCGAUGAAGAACGCAGCGAAAUGCGAUAAGUAAUGUGAAUUGCAGAAUUUAGUGAAUCAUCGAAUCUUUGAACGCACAUUGCGCCCCUUGGUAUUCCUCGGGGCACGCCUGUUCGAGCGCCGUUU
rnacentral:rRNA from 1 species